rnacentral:rRNA from 1 species
AUACGGAGGAUCCGAGCGUUAUCCGGAUUUAUUGGGUUUAAAGGGUGCGCAGGCGGGAGAUUAAGUCGGCGGUGAAAUUUUUCAGCUCAACUGUAAAAGUGCCUUCGAAACUGGUUUUCUUGUGUGUAGAUGAAGUAGGCGGAAUUUGUGGUGUAGCGGUGAAAUGCAUAGAUAUCACGAGGAACUCCGAUUGCGCAGGCAGCUUACUAAACUACUACUGACGCUCAGGCACGAAGGCGUGGGGAUCAAACAGGAUUAGAUACCCUGGUAGUCCACGCAGUAAACGAUGAUUACUAGCUGUUUGCGAUACAAUGUAAGCGGCUGAGCGAAAGCGUUAAGUAAUCCACCUGGGGAGUACGUUCGCAAGAAUGAAACUCAAAUGAAUUGACGGGG